rnacentral:rRNA from 1 species
GUGCCAGCGCGGUAAUACGUAGGCAGCGAGCGUUUGUUCGGAGUUACUGGGCGUAAAGAGUGCGUAGGCGGUUUUCUAAGUUUGGUGUGAAAUCUCCCGGCUUAACUGGGAGGGUGCGCCGAAGACUGGAAGGCUUGAGUAUGGGAGAGGUAAGCGGAAUUCCUGGUGUAGCGGUGAAAUGCGCAGAUAUCAGGAAGAACACCCGUGGCGAAGGCGGCUCUCUGGGACGGUACUGACGCUGAGACGCGAAAGCGUGGGGAGCGAACAGG